rnacentral:rRNA from 1 species
AUGCAACCACUUUCUGAAGAUUACUCCAAAAUGUUAUUCUAUACAAGAACAUCUGGUAGUGAAGGACCUGCUGAAGUGACUACAAUAAUUUUAAAGAAAUGUGGUGGCGUGCCAUUAGCUAUCACUACAAUAGCUAGCUUGCUUGUUGCUAAACACAGGAAGGACUGGUCUAAGGUAUAUGAUGCCAUAGGUUUUGGGCAUGAAGAGAAUGAUGAUGUUCGUAACACAAGAAAGAUAUUAUCUUUUAGUUAUUAUGAUCUAUCUUCCAAUCUAAAGACAUGUUUAUUGUAUCUUAGUGUGUUUCCUGAAGAUUGUUUAAUUGAUAAAAUAUCACUGAUAUGGAGGUGGGUUGCCGAAGGAUUUAUACCAUAUCGAGAAGGGAUGGAGUCAUUUGAACUUGGAGAGAUCUAUUUCAACAAGCUUGUAAACAAGAGCAUGAUACGGUGGAUAGAUCCUGAAGAUAAUGAUUUCUGA